rnacentral:lncRNA from 1 species
GUUUGUUUAUGCUGCAUAUUGUUUUCCUUAUUUUCACUUAUGAUGUUUCCUUUUCCUGGGUAUUUACUGAAUUAUUGAUUCAGUUGCUUAUUGACUUUAUAGAUGUGUCUUUGUGAAUUCUUUGGGUUUAUGAUGAAGAUAAGUUUUUCCAAAGGAGGCCUGAGUGUUUUUUUAGGGUGGUGUCAUAUGAUGAUCUUGUAAUCAAGAAUGAUCAUUUUUUACAUUGAGGAAGUAUAAACUUUCCCUGAAAAUAUACAAGAAGACAGUUUCAUACUUACAAAUUCUUAGAAUAAAUUUGUGUACCACUUCAGUUUUCUCACUUUUUUACCAUAAUAUCUUUAUUAUGGUAGACUGCUCAGUUAUUCACAACUUUGUGUGUGUGUGUGUGUGCGCGCUAAAGCAAAUGAACAUGGAUUGUAUAAGGGAAGAUUUUUUGAUAAGAUAAUGGAGAACCUUAGGCAUGUUGCUGGAAGAGGAUCAGUUAUAAGCUUUAAGCUUUGAUUAUUAUCAUAAAACUCCCAAAGAAUCUUAAAACAAGUUUAAAAAC